AUUCUUUGUUGUUUUCUUUCCAUUGCACCUACCUUCAAGUUUUGUAUAUCAGUCCAAUACUCAUCUUAUUGCUUUGCUAGUUUUGUUUCCAGAGGUUGCUCUUUGUGCGGCUAUUGUAGCUAAUCUCAACACGAAGAGUUGUAUACUUUGCAUGAUUGAUCAUUAUACAAGUCUAGAUUACUGAAGGACCAAAUUCUCAGAUAAAAAGUUAUAUUUAGUUUGUGGAUCUGCCUGAUUGUGAAAUUGAUGGAGGGCGCGAUUAGGUGCUCCACCAACUAUGUUCCUCUUUCUCUGAUCAGCUUCUUGGAGCGCUCAGCCAUAGUCUACAGAGAUAGACCUCUAUUAUGUAUGGAGACAUACACUUGAACAAUGCACCAGACUUGCUUCUGCUCUUGCCCGACUUGGAAUUUCUCGAGGCGAUGUGAAUGCAUUUGAGCUCGCCUUCUUCGUUUGGGUUCCAAGAUGGCAGCUAAGAAUCCGAAAAGAGGAAUAAAAUGGUUCUUAGUGCAAGCUGCUGCUGAGAAGGUUAAUGAGAGAAUCUGAAUGUGGUCACGCCAGGUCAAAGAGGUUGAAAACAAGUGAGUAUGGAUUUUAUGUUUUGUUAACUAUUGGGGUCUAUAGAUCAUGAGGAAAAAUAA